GGUACUCGUUAAGGCUGAGCUGUGAUGGGGAGAAGACAUUGUGUCUUCGAGUCGUUGAUUUCACACUGCCGAGAAAAGCCUCUAGAUAGAAAAUAGGUGCCCGUACCGCAAACCGACACAGGUAGUCAAGAUGAGAAUUCUAAGGUGAGCGAGCGAACUCUCGUUAAGGAACUCGGCAAAAUGACCCCGUAACUUCGGGAGAAGGGGUGCUCUUUAGGGUUAACGCCCAGAAGAGCCGCAGUGAAUAGGCCCAAGCGACUGUUUAUCAAAAACACAGGUCUCUGCUAAACCGUAAGGUGAUGUAUAGGGGCUGACGCCUGCCCGGUGCUGGAAGGUUAAGAGGAGUGGUUAGCUUCUGCGAAGCUACGAAUCGAAGCCCCAGUAAACGGCGGCCGUAACUAUAACGGUCCUAAGGUAGCGAAAUUCCUUGUCGGGUAAGUUCCGACCCGCACGAAAGGCGUAACGAUUUGGGCACUGUCUCAACGAGAGACUCGGUGAAAUCAUAGUACCUGUGAAGAUGCAGGUUACCCGCGACAGGACGGAAAGACCCCGUGGAGCUUUACUGUAGCCUGAUAUUGAAAUUCGGCACAGCUUGUACAGGAUAGGUAGGAGCCUUUGAAACGUGAGCGCUAGCUUACGUGGAGGCGCUGGUGGGAUACUACCCUAGCUGUGUUGGCUUUCUAACCCGCACCACUUAUCGUGGUGGGAGACAGUGUCAGGCGGGCAGUUUGACUGGGGCGGUCGCCUCCUAAAAGGUAACGGAGGCGCUCAAAGGUUCCCUCAGAAUGGUUGGAAAUCAUUCAUAGAGUGUAAAGGCAUAAGGGAGCUUGACUGCGAGACCUACAAGUCGAGCAGGGUCGAAAGACGGACUUAGUGAUCCGGUGGUUCCGCAUGGAAGGGCCAUCGCUCAACGGAUAAAAGCUACCCCGGGGAUAACAGGCUUAUCUCCCCCAAGAGUUCACAUCGACGGGGAGGUUUGGCACCUCGAUGUCGGCUCAUCGCAUCCUGGGGCUGUAGUCGGUCCCAAGGGUUGGGCUGUUCGCCCAUUAAAGCGGUACGCGAGCUGGGUUCAGAACGUCGUGAGACAGUUCGGUCCCUAUCCGUCGUGGGCGUAGGAAAUUUGAGAGGAGCUGUCCUUAGUACGAGAGGACCGGGAUGGACAUACCUCUGGUGUACCAGUUGUCGUGCCAACGGCAUAGCUGGGUAGCUAUGUGUGGACGGGAUAAGUGCUGAAAGCAUCUAAGCAUGAAGCCCCCCUCAAGAUGAGAUUUCCCAACUUCGGUUAUAAGAUCCCUCAAAGAUGAUGAGGUUAAUAGGUUCGAGGUGGAAGCAUGGUGACAUGUGGAGCUGACGAAUACUAAUCGAUCGAAGACUUAAUCAA
rnacentral:rRNA from 1 species